rnacentral:rRNA from 1 species
UACGUAGGGGGCAAGCGUUGUCCGGAUUUAUUGGGCGUAAAGAGCGUGUAGGCGGCCAGACAGGUCCGUUGUGAAAACUCGAGGCUCAACCUCGAGACGCCGAUGGAAACCGUGUGGGCUAGAGUCCGGAAGAGGAGAGUGGAAUUCCUGGUGUAGCGGUGAAAUGCGCAGAUAUCAGGAGGAACACCGUGGCGAAGGCGGACUCCUGGCGGACGUGACGUGA